rnacentral:misc_RNA from 1 species
GAUGAAGAACGUAGCGAAAUGCGAUACGUAAUGUGAAUUGCAGAAUUCAGUGAAUCAUCGAGUCUUUGAACGCACAUUGCGCCCUCUGGUAUUCCGGAGGGCAUGCCUGUCCGAGCGUCAUUGCUGCCCUCAAGCACGGCUUGUGUGUUGGGCCCCGCCCCCCGAUCCCGGGGGGCGGGCCCGAAAGGCAGCGGCGGCACCGCGUCCGGUCCUCGAGCGUAUGGGGCUUUGUCACCCGCUCUGUAGGCCAGGCCGGCGCUUGCCGAUCAACCAAACUUUUUUCCAGGUUGACCUCGGAUCAGGUAGGGAUACCCGCUGAACUUAAGCAUAUCAAUAAGCGGAGGA